UUUUACGUGUGAAAACUCUCUCCACACUGGUCACAUGUCAACAGAUUCUCUUUAGAAUGAGUACUCAUGUGCUCCUUGAGACUUCUUUUACGUGUGAAACCCUCUCCACACUGGUCACAUGUCAACAGAUUCUCUUCAGCAUGAGUUCCUAUGUGCUCAUUCAGGCUUUGUUUACAUGUAAAACCCUCUCCACACUGGUCACAUGUCAACAGUUUCUCUUUAGAAUGAGUACUCAUGCUCCUCCAGACUUCUUUUACACAUGAAACUCUUUCCACACUGGUCACAUGUCAACAGAUUCUCUUUAGAAUGAGUACUCAUGUGCUCCUCGAGACUUCUUUUACACAUGAAACUCUUUCCACAGGCAGAUAUCACUCACAGAACAGAAUACCAGGCAAGGAUCAAAGGCAGGCAGCAACUGGUCGAUAACGGGUAACAGGCAGUAACAGGAACACACAGGCAGACAGGAUGAUAAACGCUCAGAAUUGCAACACAGGUUAACAAGACUUCACAAUGAGGUGGUGUGUGUGUAAGUCCUUUAUAGUCCAGGUAAUGAUCUACAGGUGUGUGUGGCAAUUGGUGAUUGGUGUGGAGUGUGCAUCUGAUUGGCAGGGAGGAUUAUGGGAAAUGGAGUCCAGGAACUGACAGGAACAGACAGUGAUCGUGACAACAUGGUUCUAAGUAUUCAGACCCUUUGCUCAGUAUUUAGUAGAAGCACCCUUUUGAUCUAAUACAGCCAUGAGUCUUUUUGGGAAAGAAGCAACAAGUUUUUCACACCUGGAUUUGGGGAUCCUCUGCCAUUCCUCCUUGCAGAUCCUCUCCAGUUCUGUCAGGUUGGAUGGUAAACGUUGGUGGACAGCCAUUUUUAGGUCUCUCCAGAGAUGCUCAAUUGGGUUUAAGUCAGGGCUCUGGCUGGGCCAUUUGAGAACAGUCACAGAGUUGUUGUGAGCAGUGCCUGGUUUUCUUCACACAUACCGCUUAGAAUUAAGGCCAAAAAGUUCUAUCUUGGUCUCAUCAGACCAGAGAAUCUUAUUUCUCACCAUCUUGGAGUCCUCCAUGCGGGCUUUCAUGUGUCUUGCACUGAGGAGAGGCUUCCGUCGGGCCACUCUGCCAUAAAGCCCCAACUGGUGGAGGACUGCAGUGAUGGUUGACUUUCUACAACUUUCUCCCAUCUCCCGACUGCAUCUCUGGAGCUCAGCCACAGUGAUCUUUGGGUUCUUCUUUACCUCUCUCACCAAGGCUCUUCUCCCCCGAUAGCUCAGUUUGGCCAGACGGCCAGCUCUAGGAAGGGUUCUGGUCGUCCCAAACGUCUUCCAUUUAAGGAUUAUGGAGGCCACUGUGCUCUUAGGAACCUUAAGUGCAGCAGAAAUUUUUUUGUAACCUUGGCCAGAUCUGUGCCUUGCCACAAUUCUGUCUCUGAGCUCUUCAGGCAGUUCCUUUGACCUCAUGAUUCUCAUUUGCUCUGACAUGCACUGUGAGCUGUAAGGUCUUAUAUAGACAGGUGUGUGGCUUUCCUAAUCAAGUCCAAUCAGUAUAAUCAAACACAGCUGAAAUGAAGGUGUAGAUGGUGUAGAACCAUCUCAAGGAUGAUCAGAAGAAAUGGACAGCACCUGAGUUAAAUAUAUGAGUGUCACAGCAAAGGGUCUGAAUACUUAGGACCAUGUGAUAUUUCAGUUUUUCUUUUUUAAUAAAUCUGCAAAAAUGUCAACAAUUCUGUGUUUUUCUCUCAAUAUGGGGUGCUGUGUGUACAUUAAUGAGGAAAAAAAUGAACUUAAAUGAUUUUAGCAAAUGGCUGCAAUAUAACAAAGAGUGAAAAAUUUAAGGGGGUCUGAAUCCUUUCCGUACCCAUUGUAAAUACAUAGCUGUAUACACUAUAUAUUUAAGCCUAAUGACAUUUAUCAUUAUUUUCUCCCGCUAAGCAAUUUGUUCUCAGUGUUCUCUGGAAUCCUCUCAAGCGGAGGACUCCAAAAUAACACAAGCAAGAACUAAUUUUAAACCUAGCACGUCAAUUUUAAUUUCACAAUGAUCUUCCCUCUCUGUGUGCGCGCGCAUUUGUGUAUGAGAGAGAGCUCGAGCAGCACUGAGACAACGGUACUUUUAAAUCCAUAGGUAACUAAUGUGCUAGUUUUCAUACAAAACAAGUAGGCUAUGUAACAUAAUUAGGUACUUUAGUUAUUAUUAACUAUACGUUUCUCAACACUGAGAAUAAAUAAAUAUGCAUUGCUUUAUUUUGUAUAUAUAAAAAAUAAAGGAAUGCAUAUUUUAUUUACCUUUUUGUAUAAUUCUGCCUCCCUUCUAAUUUAAUUAUUAUUUAUUUUAAUUGACUUAUUUAAUAUUAAUAUUAAUUGAUGUUUAAAAAAAUACUAUUUGAAUUACUUAUUAGGAAUUAGGUGUUAGUAUAAGAUUUUGAAAUUAUUUCUAUAUGUAAAAGUGCUUAAUUAUGUAUGUAUUGGUUAUGUCUCUAAUUAUCAUUUAUUUAUUUUUUGUGUUGGUAAUGGGUAUUAUCACAAAAGAAAAAGUGAAAGGAAGAGAAAGUAGAAAAAAAUGAGGAAUAAUUAUUGGUAAAAAAUAUUAUGUCUUUGAAGGAGAUGUUUAUUGGUAUUUGUAUUAAAUAUGCUUGAAUUGAAAGACAUAAUAAAGCAUAAAAAAAAGAGAGAGAAUAAAUAAAUAAACGGCUGUUUCCCCAGACUCGCGCUUGUCAGUCAUCCACAAAUCACAGCACUUUCAUAAUCACUAAGCCAUAUAGCGAUUUCAAUUUUAUUUAGAUUUGUUGUUCAAUAUUACUUGAGCAUUUUAUACCCGUUUACCUUAAGAAGUUAGAAGUACCGUGACUACAGUACUGUCCUCGCUUGAGAAUUCAGUCACUGAGACGGCGGGAGUGGAAGGAGGGAGAUUGAGCGGGAUUUUGUGUUGCUGUCGAUUUGCAGUCUCUUUUUAAUGUUAGGCCUUACACAUUUGUCAAUCAUCCUCUCUUGCUAUUUGGGGAAAUGAGCACAGCGCUAUGAUUGGUCAAACUCUUUUUCUUUUGCUUUAUUUGAGUACUACGCAUGCACAGAGGAGUCACCAGGUUUUUGCAUAGUUUAGAGUGACAAACCAGUGCCAGCGUACUUUCAGGUCAAAAUGCAUACCUGCUACGCAAAAUGCGUACAUGUUGGCAGGUCUGGAAAUUGUAGAGAACAAGCAUACACAAAUGGAGAUAUUUUGUGAAAAAUGAUGCUUUUGCGUCUCACCGCUGUGACCUAGACCAUCCGGCGCCUCUGUUAUUGCCUCUAUACUGUCCAUACAGCCUUUUUUCAAGUUGGAAACUGACAAAACCUUGUCUCGUAGUAAAAUUUUUGACAUGUUCUAUCGUGUGACGUAUUAUUGCAGCUUUUCACACAACAAAAGUGUGCCAUUUUUCCAGUGAAAGGAAGCAAAAGAAAAAACAACUCUGCUCUGAAACAGAUUGUUUGGAUACCCUACAAAUACCAGCGACACCCAUAAUGCACUCCGGUUUUUAUGAGUGUGGCGUCACCUGACAAAGACUGAUAAAAAGUGUACAAGUCACUUGUUUUUCUAAAGGAAAAGUUACAGCAGGAGUCCAAGUCUCUCGUGCCUCCCCUCAGCUCACAGAGAAUGAACAGAGCCCCUUAAGUGUGCGGUGGGUUUUGUGGGGGGUAACAAAGAAUCAAUGGGGGAAAGUCAUGUGAGAGGAAGCAGUGCCUCCAUCGUGCUACGAUUGGAUAUGUUCGGUUAUGCUUGGAUAUGAUUGGUUUGUUCGAUAAAUCCUGCCUCUUGUUUAUGUGCGCAUUGUACGCGUCAGUCUGAAUGAACAAAGUGAUGUCUUCAAUAGGAAGACUAAUUAAAAAGUAAGUAAACAGCUUAGAUAUCACCGCUUUAUGUCACGUCAAAAUCAAACGUGAAAAAUUUGAAAACAUGAUGACUGCAGGGGUUUUAGUGAGCAAUCAGCUUGGUGAAAUUAAAGGUACAUCUUCGUGACUGUGACAGAGUGUUUACCGAGCAUGACUGAUGAUCCGAAAUAAGUUGAAUAUUAAAAAGAACAGCUGAAAAUCAAUACACAAAUAAAAUAUAUUGUUCAACCCUCUAUGGUAUGGUGUUGCCUCCAGGCAACAUAGUCUUUUUUAGUUUGUUUUUAAUAAAAUGAGACUUUUAAAUGAACUUUUAAAAUAUAAAUUAAAAAUUAAUGAAAAUGUAUAUUGAUAUUGUUAUAGUGUACAAUUUUAGGCAGGAAAAAACACCACAAAUAAUUUUUUCCUCAUUGAUAUCAUACUGCGUAUCAUAGAGGGUUAAACUGUUACUGCCUUUAGUUAUUAUUUUGGAAUGUGUAAAAAUGUUUUAAACACUAACUUGAUAAGAUUGACUUGGUUUUAAUAAAUAGAACAAUAAUUAAAUUCUUAAUGUAAAAAUACAAAAUUAAUAUACAAGUAAAUACAAAAUGUAUAAGUUAUAUAUAUAUUAUAUCAAAUGUAGUGUAAUUAAGUGAAUAAAAGCUUAUUUUAGAUUAAUGUUAUUGCAAAUUGUGAACUUCAAAUUAGAGCUAUAACAUAGCUUUGGCUACUCUUAAAUGACACUUGAUGAUUAAUAAACUGCAGUAAUAUUAUAACUCCAAACAGAAACAAACAUAGCAUAGAAACACUAGAAGACAACCAACAAACUGCACCAUUUGAUUAAAGAUUAUUAUUAAAAAAAUGUUACAAAAACAUGCAUGGAUGAAUUGUACCCAGUAAUAUGCAUUCACAAAAUAAACCAGGUCAGUUUUUAUUAAACGUUUGAUUGACCUUAUGGACAUUUUUCAGUCUUUCAUUUUUGUUGUUUUUUUUUGAUAAUUUUGCCUGUUAAUGCCAGCUAUAAUGGUGUGGGUGUGUUGGUAUGGAUGUCAGGGUGUGGCUUGUAUGAGUGUAAUAAAAUAAUUGUGUGUGCGUGCUUAUAAUAUUUAAGAGAGAGAAACUCUACUGCAAAUCACAAAUCCAACCACUGUGUGUACCAGUGGAGUUUUGCUGGCAUCUAAUGGAGAAAAUUUGGUACUGCACCCAAACAAAAUCUUACUGAAAACUCGUUUUUUGAGAUAUCAACCUCAAAUUUGGAACACAACUUGUUUAGAUUUAUGGCUUUGAUUUUCUAGUAGUUUUAGAGUUCAACAUAUUUCAUAUAAUAUAUAUAUAUAUAUAUAUAUAUAUAUAUAUAUUUUUUUUUUUUUUUUCCUUUUUUACUUCAAGAUUCUUUUUCAAGGGUCUUUUUUAAAAUGAGACUAAACUUAAGUCUGUGCUCCCAAGCUUCAAAGUUUUAUGACAGUUUUUUUUUUUUACAUUUUUGAAUAUCCAUGUUUCAGUGUAUGAAAAUCUCAAAACUUUUUACAGAUAUUAGUUACAGACAUAAUGGACACCGGUAAGGGCUGUUCGUGUAAACCUCACUCCCCUGAUCUCAAGAGGUGCUCUGGUGACUGAUGCUAGAGACUGCGGUCUUUAGCCUCCUUGUUAGAGCGCCCACCACCCAUGAGGACAGGCCCGGGUUCGAGUCUCGCUUGUAGUGGGCGGUGUGAACUGGAGGGGCUACAAAUGUUUUCUUUCCAUGUGACUUUUCAGAUUUCCUGACUGAUUGAAUCUCAUGGGACAGUAUGAACACUCGUAAG